AUGAAGGACGUUACUAACGACGAUAUGCUUUGGGGAGCUGUAAGUAAGCUUUGAUCCAGAGAUUUCCGAAUGGGGAAACCCAGCAUGAGUUAUGUCAUGUUAUCGAUAUGUGAAUACAUAGCAUAUCAGAAGGCACACCCGGAGAACUGAAACAUCUUAGUACCCGGAGGAAGAGAAAGAAAAUUCGAUUCCCUUAGUAGCGGCGAGCGAAACGGGAAGAGCCCAAACCAACAAGCUUGCUUGUUGGGGUUGUAGGACACUCUAUACGGAGUUACAAAGGACGACAUUAGACGAAUCAUCUGGAAAGAUGAAUCAAAGAAGGUAAUAAUCCUGUAGUCGAAAAUGUUGUCUCUCUUGAGUGGAUCCUGAGUACGACGGAGCACGUGAAAUUCCGUCGGAAUCUGGGAGGACCAUCUCCUAAGGCUAAAUACUCUCUAGUGACCGAUAGUGAACCAGUACCGUGAGGGAAAGGUGAAAAGCACCCCGGAAGGGGAGUGAAAUAGAACCUGAAACCGUGUGCUUACAAGUAGUCAGAGCCCGUUAAUGGGUGAUGGCGUGCCUUUUGUAGAAUGAACCGGCGAGUUACGAUUUGAUGCAAGGUUAAGCAGUAAAUGUGGAGCCGUAGCGAAAGCGAGUCUGAAUAGGGCGUUUAGUAUUUGGUCGUAGACCCGAAACCAGGUGAUCUACCCUUGGUCAGGUUGAAGUUCAGGUAACACUGAAUGGAGGACCGAACCGACUUACGUUGAAAAGUGAGCGGAUGAACUGAGGGUAGCGGAGAAAUUCCAAUCGAACCUGGAGAUAGCUGGUUCUCUCCGAAAUAGCUUUAGGGCUAGCCUCAAGUGAUGAUUAUUGGAGGUAGAGCACUGUUUGGACGAGGGGCCCCUCUCGGGUUACCGAAUUCAGACAAACUCCGAAUGCCAAUUAAUUUAACUUGGGAGUCAGAACAUGGGUGAUAAGGUCCGUGUUCGAAAGGGAAACAGCCCAGACCACCAGCUAAGGUCCCAAAAUAUAUGUUAAGUGGAAAAGGAUGUGGCGUUGCCCAGACAACUAGGAUGUUGGCUUAGAAGCAGCCAUCAUUUAAAGAGUGCGUAAUAGCUCACUAGUCGAGUGACACUGCGCCGAAAAUGUACCGGGGCUAAACAUAUUACCGAAGCUGUGGAUUGUCCUUUGGACAAUGGUAGGAGAGCGUUCUAAGGGCGUUGAAGCAUGAUCGUAAGGACAUGUGGAGCGCUUAGAAGUGAGAAUGCCGGUGUGAGUAGCGAAAGACGGGUGAGAAUCCCGUCCACCGAUUGACUAAGGUUUCCAGAGGAAGGCUCGUCCGCUCUGGGUUAGUCGGGUCCUAAGCUGAGGCCGACAGGCGUAGGCGAUGGAUAACAGGUUGAUAUUCCUGUACCACCUAUAAUCGUUUUAAUCGAUGGGGGGACNNNNNNNNNNNNNNNNNNNNNNNNNNNNNNNNNNNNNNNNNNNNNNNNNNNNNNNNNNNNNNNNNNNNNNNNNNNNNNNNNNNNNNNNNNNNNNNCGAUGGGGGGACGCAGUAGGAUAGGCGAAGCGUGCGAUUGGAUUGCACGUCUAAGCAGUAAGGCUGAGUAUUAGGCAAAUCCGGUACUCGUUAAGGCUGAGCUGUGAUGGGGAGAAGACAUUGUGUCUUCGAGUCGUUGAUUUCACACUGCCGAGAAAAGCCUCUAGAUAGAAAAUAGGUGCCCGUACCGCAAACCGACACAGGUAGUCAAGAUGAGAAUUCUAAGGUGAGCGAGCGAACUCUCGUUAAGGAACUCGGCAAAAUGACCCCGUAACUUCGGGAGAAGGGGUGCUCUUUAGGGUUAACGCCCAGAAGAGCCGCAGUGAAUAGGCCCAAGCGACUGUUUAUCAAAAACACAGGUCUCUGCUAAACCGUAAGGUGAUGUAUAGGGGCUGACGCCUGCCCGGUGCUGGAAGGUUAAGAGGAGUGGUUAGCUUCUGCGAAGCUACGAAUCGAAGCCCCAGUAAACGGCGGCCGUAACUAUAACGGUCCUAAGGUAGCGAAAUUCCUUGUCGGGUAAGUUCCGACCCGCACGAAAGGCGUAACGAUUUGGGCACUGUCUCAACGAGAGACUCGGUGAAAUCAUAGUACCUGUGAAGAUGCAGGUUACCCGCGACAGGACGGAAAGACCCCGUGGAGCUUUACUGUAGCCUGAUAUUGAAAUUCGGCACAGCUUGUACAGGAUAGGUAGGAGCCUUUGAAACGUGAGCGCUAGCUUACGUGGAGGCGCUGGUGGGAUACUACCCUAGCUGUGUUGGCUUUCUAACCCGCACCACUUAUCGUGGUGGGAGACAGUGUCAGGCGGGCAGUUUGACUGGGGCGGUCGCCUCCUAAAAGGUAACGGAGGCGCUCAAAGGUUCCCUCAGAAUGGUUGGAAAUCAUUCAUAGAGUGUAAAGGCAUAAGGGAGCUUGACUGCGAGACCUACAAGUCGAGCAGGGUCGAAAGACGGACUUAGUGAUCCGGUGGUUCCGCAUGGAAGGGCCAUCGCUCAACGGAUAAAAGCUACCCCGGGGAUAACAGGCUUAUCUCCCCCAAGAGUUCACAUCGACGGGGAGGUUUGGCACCUCGAUGUCGGCUCAUCGCAUCCUGGGGCUGUAGUCGGUCCCAAGGGUUGGGCUGUUCGCCCAUUAAAGCGGUACGCGAGCUGGGUUCAGAACGUCGUGAGACAGUUCGGUCCCUAUCCGUCGUGGGCGUAGGAAAUUUGAGAGGAGCUGUCCUUAGUACGAGAGGACCGGGAUGGACAUACCUCUGGUGUACCAGUUGUCGUGCCAACGGCAUAGCUGGGUAGCUAUGUGUGGACGGGAUAAGUGCUGAAAGCAUCUAAGCAUGAAGCCCCCCUCAAGAUGAGAUUUCCCAACUUCGGUUAUAAGAUCCCUCAAAGAUGAUGAGGUUAAUAGGUUCGAGGUGGAAGCAUGGUGACAUGUGGAGCUGACGAAUACUAAUCGAUCGAAGACUUAAUC
rnacentral:rRNA from 1 species